UACGGAAGGCAGCAGUGGGGAAUAUUGCACAAUGGGCGCAAGCCUGAUGCAGCCAUGCCGCGUGUAUGAAGAAGGCCUUCGGGUUGUAAAGUACUUUCAGUCGUGAGGAAGGUGUUAAGGUUAAUAACCUUAGCAAUUGACGUUAGCGACAGAAGAAGCACCGGCUAACUCCGUGCCAGCAGCCGCGGUAAUACGGAGGGUGCGAGCGUUAAUCGGAAUUACUGGGCGUAAAGGGCACGCAGGCGGUUAAUUAAGUUGGAUGUGAAAUCCCCGGGCUUAACCUGGGAAUGGCAUUCAAGACUGGUUAGCUAGAGUCUUGUAGAGGGGGUUAGAAUUCCAUGUGUAGCGGUGAAAUGCGUAGAGAUGUGGAGGAAUACCGGUGGCGAAGGCGGCCCCUGGACAAAGACUGACGCUCAUGUGCGAAAGCGUGGGGAGCAAACAGGAUUAGAUACC
rnacentral:rRNA from 1 species